GAACGCUGGCGGCGUGCCUAAUACAUGCAAGUCGAACGCACAGCGAAAGGUGCUUGCACCUUUCAAGUGAGUGGCGAACGGGUGAGUAACACGUGGACAACCUGCCUCAAGGCUGGGGAUAACAUUUGGAAACAGAUGCUAAUACCGAAUAAAACUUAGUGUCGCAUGACACAAAGUUAAAAGGCGCUUCGGCGUCACCUAGAGAUGGAUCCGCGGUGCAUUAGUUAGUUGGUGGGGUAAAGGCCUACCAAGACAAUGAUGCAUAGCCGAGUUGAGAGACUGAUCGGCCACAUUGGGACUGAGACACGGCCCAAACUCCUACGGGAGGCUGCAGUAGGGAAUCUUCCACAAUGGGCGAAAGCCUGAUGGAGCAACGCCGCGUGUGUGAUGAAGGCUUUCGGGUCGUAAAGCACUGUUGUAUGGGAAGAACAGCUAGAAUAGGAAAUGAUUUUAGUUUGACGGUACCAUACCAGAAAGGGACGGCUAAAUACGUGCCAGCAGCCGCGGUAAUACGUAUGUCCCGAGCGUUAUCCGGAUUUAUUGGGCGUAAAGCGAGCGCAGACGGUUUAUUAAGUCUGAUGUGAAAGCCCGGAGCUCAACUCCGGAAUGGCAUUGGAAACUGGUUAACUUGAGUGCAGUAGAGGUAAGUGGAACUCCAUGUGUAGCGGUGGAAUGCGUAGAUAUAUGGAAGAACACCAGUGGCGAAGGCGGCUUACUGGACUGCAACUGACGUUGAGGCUCGAAAGUGUGGGUAGCAAACAGGAUUAGAUACCCUGGUAGUCCACACCGUAAACGAUGAACACUAGGUGUUAGGAGGUUUCCGCCUCUUAGUGCCGAAGCUAACGCAUUAAGUGUUCCGCCUGGGGAGUACGACCGCAAGGUUGAAACUCAAAGGAAUUGACGGGGACCCGCACAAGCGGUGGAGCAUGUGGUUUAAUUCGAAGCAACGCGAAGAACCUUACCAGGUCUUGACAUCCUUUGAAGCUUUUAGAGAUAGAAGUGUUCUCUUCGGAGACAAAGUGACAGGUGGUGCAUGGUCGUCGUCAGCUCGUGUCGUGAGAUGUUGGGUUAAGUCCCGCAACGAGCGCAACCCUUAUUGUUAGUUGCCAGCAUUCAGAUGGGCACUCUAGCGAGACUGCCGGUGACAAACCGGAGGAAGGCGGGGACGACGUCAGAUCAUCAUGCCCCUUAUGACCUGGGCUACACACGUGCUACAAUGGCGUAUACAACGAGUUGCCAACCCGCGAGGGUGAGCUAAUCUCUUAAAGUACGUCUCAGUUCGGAUUGUAGUCUGCAACUCGACUACAUGAAGUCGGAAUCGCUAGUAAUCGCGGAUCAGCACGCCGCGGUGAAUACGUUCCCGGGUCUUGUACACACCGCCCGUCACACCAUGGGAGUUUGUAAUGCCCAAAGCCGGUGGCCUAACCUUUUAGGAAGGAGCCGUCUAAGGCAGGACAGAUGACUGGGGUGAAG
rnacentral:rRNA from 1 species